rnacentral:rRNA from 1 species
GACGAACGCUGGCGGCGUGCCUAAUACAUGCAAGUCGAACGAACUCUGGUAUUGAUUGGUGCUUGCAUCAUGAUUUACAUUUGAGUGAGUGGCGAACUGGUGAGUAACACGUGGGAAACCUGCCCAGAAGCGGGGGAUAACACCUGGAAACAGAUGCUAAUACCGCAUAACAACUUGGACCGCAUGGUCCGAGUUUGAAAGAUGGCUUCGGCUAUCACUUUUGGAUGGUCCCGCGGCGUAUUAGCUAGAUGGUGGGGUAACGGCUCACCAUGGCAAUGAUACGUAGCCGA